CAGUGUAGAAACCCGAGCCACGUGGUACAUUUCUGUACUAUUUUGGACCUUGCCACUUGUCAUUCCACAAGUUGUGACCCUAACUAAGUGCAAACUUUGACGUGCUAGGAUGGCCACAAAUGUUGCAACUCUUUGUGGCACGUCUCUUGUAGCAGUUCCACUUGGCAAGAUCAUGUAUUUGUGACCCCAAACUAUUGUACUUUAAAAGAUCAUGAAGCAUGGUUCAACAGCAUUGGCGGUGAUCAAGAUACAAC
rnacentral:lncRNA from 1 species